rnacentral:rRNA from 1 species
GGGGGAGCUAAUACAUGCAAGUCGAGCGCAGUCUUUUUAAAGCGAAAGCCUUCGGGCUGGAAGCUAAAAGAGCGGGCGGCGGGUGGGUGAGUAACACGUGGGCAACCUGCCCUUUAGCUAGGGAUACCACUUGGAAACAGGUGCUAAUACCAAAUAAGAAGCAAGAGCGCAUGCUCAAGCUAUGAAAGGCGGCUUUCGAGCUGACACUAAAGGAUGGGCCCGCGGUGCAUUAUCUAGUUGGUAAGGUAACGGCUUACCAAGGCAAUGAUGCAUAGCCGAGUUGAGAGACUGAUCGGCCACAUUGGGACUGAGACACGGCCCAAACUCCUACGGGAGGCAGGGAAGGGAAUCUUCCACAAUGGACGCAAGUCUGAUGGAGCAACGCCGCGUGAGUGAAGAAGGUUUUCGGAUCGUAAAGCUCUGUUGUUGGUGAAGAAGGAUGUGAAUAGUAACUGAUUCAUAUUUGACGGUAAUCAACCAGAAAGUCACGGCUAACUACGUGCCAGCAGCCGCGGUAAUACGUAGGUGGCAAGCGUUGUCCGGAUUUAUUGGGCGUAAAGCGAACGCAGGCGGAAGAACAAGUCAGCUGUGAAAGCCCUCGGCUUAACCGGGGAAGUGCAACUGAAACUGUUUUUCUUGAGUGCAGAAGAGGAGAGUGGAACUCCAUGUGUAGCGGUGGAAUGCGUAGAUAUAUGGAAGAACACCAGUGGCGAAUGCGGCUCUCUGGUCUGUAACUGACGCUGAGGUUCGAGAGCAUGGGUAGCGAACAGGAUUAGAUACCCUGGUAGUCCAUGCC